rnacentral:rRNA from 4 species
AACGCGAAGAACCUUACCUAGGCUUGAAAAGCUUAUGACCGGCUGUGAAAGCAGCUUUCCCGCAAGGGCAUAAGUACAGGUGCUGCAUGGCUGUCGUCAGCUCGUGCCGUGAGGUGUUGGGUUAAGUCCCGCAACGAGCGCAACCCUUACCAUUAGUUGCCACCGGAGCAAUCCGAGCACUCUAAUGGAACUGCCUACGCAAGUAGUGAGGAAGGUGAGGAUGACGUCAAGUCCGCAUGGCCCUUACGCCUAGGGCUACACACGUGCUACAAUGGCCGCCACAACGGGCAGCAAAAUCGCGAGAUGGAGCGAAUCCCUAAAAAGCGGCCUCAGUUCGGAUUGGAGUCUGCAACUCGACUCCAUGAAGUUGGAAUUGCUAGUAAUCGCGUAUCAGCAUGACGCGGUGAAUACGUUCCCGGGCCUUGUACACACCGCCCGUAAUCAC